UACGUAGGGGGCAAGCGUUGUCCGGAUUUACUGGGCGUAAAGCGUGCGUAGGCGGUUCAUUAAGUCGGUUGUGAAAUCCCUGGGCUUAACCUGGGAACUGCAGUCGAUACUGAUGGACUAGAGUGCGGUAGAGGGUGGCGGAACUCCGGGUGUAGCGGUGAAAUGCGUAGAUAUCAGGAGGAACACCGGUGGCGAAGGCGGGUCUCUGGGCCGAUACUGACGCUGAGGAGCGAAAGCGUGGGGAGCGAACAGG
rnacentral:rRNA from 1 species